CCCCCGCCCGGCCUGAGAGGGGGCGGCGGCCCCCCCCCCCCCCCAAAAGCGCCAAGCGGUUGUCGAUCAACCAACAAGUAGAAGCCAGGGGUUGAAGGAAGAAAGGGGGGCUCUGGCCGCACAACGUCGCAUCGAAGAACAACGUCGGGGAUGACGAUGUUUCUUAUCUAGUUCAUUCUAUUUCUACACUAAAAGGUCAGUUCUCCAAUUGAACAAGAUCAUUCUGAUUUCUAAUCCUAUCCUCCCAAAUGCUUGCAACCCCUCCUCAGCUUGAUGUCAACUGAAAAUACUCUGUCUGAAUUCCAAACUUGGCUGUUUCAUGCUAGUCUGAAUGGGAAACCUACUUGUAUAAUUCCUCUUUCCAAGAUAAUCCAAGAUUUGGUAUUUGCCUGCUUACCUGAGACCAUCUCUGCUAGUCCUUGCCACCAGGAGAGAGCAGAAAACUUGUUUCAGUACUUGCACCUCACCUCUUAGUUUGACUUCCAACUUUAUCACUCACCACUGCCUGUGCAAGCCAAGAUCCUCAACUCCAGGCUGGAGAAGACCGUAAUGGCCAUGCCAUCACCUGAUCAUGAAAAGGAAAACAUCUCUUUCUUUUCUGGUCUUCUGUUUCCUCUGUGUUUCUGUUUGGUUAGAAAAAUUCCAAAGCCUCCAGGCACUACAAUAAAAAUGAAUAAAUACCAAC